rnacentral:misc_RNA from 1 species
AUUAUUAUUAUGUUAGUGGGAAAUGUGCUGAUGCAUACGAGUUUAUUUCUCCUUUGAUUUUAUUAAUGGGAAUUUUCUCUUUUGAAAAGGAUAAGUUUUUAGAUUUGAGAUGAUUUCUGAAAAGGAAAUUCAAAUUAUUGGUUUGCAUUGAAUAGAAUUCUGAUGAGAUUUCCUAUCAAUGAAAUAGAAUAUUUUUAAUUUUACAAUAUGGAUAAAAACGUCUAUGUUUUUAUUAGUUAUAUUACAUUGUACAAAUGCACAUUAAAUCCAUAGUCUAUGAACUUUUGAAAAGUCUAUAGUUAUUAAAGGCGCACUAAGG